AAAACCUUGUGCUCUGGGGUUGAAACUAAGGAUACAAACUGCCUGGGGCAGCCAGCCUUGUGGGGAAGGCCAGACUGAGAGAAGGAAGCUGAGAUACACAGAGCUAUCUCUCCUGGCUUCAUUUCAUCCCCAAAUUGGAUUUGCAUGAUCCUACAUUAUAAGCCACUGACAGAUGUGUUGAAUAGGACAGAACCAAGUAUGGAGCCCUGAAGCAUGUCAUGAAGACUUCCUUUUGCAUUGACUUCGUUUUACUAAUUGGUCCUCUUUCAGUAAAAGGUUUCAACCAGCUAAAA
rnacentral:lncRNA from 1 species